rnacentral:rRNA from 1 species
AGAGUUUGAUCCUGGCUCAGGACGAACGCUGGCGGCGCGCCUAACACAUGCAAGUCGAACGAGAGAUGAGGAGCUUGCUCUUCAGAUCGAGUGGCGAACGGGUGAGUAACGCGUGAGGAACCUGCCUCAAAGAGGGGGACAACAGUUGGAAACGACUGCUAAUACCGCAUAAGCCCACGGCUCGGCAUCGAGCAGAGGGAAAAGGAGUGAUCCGCUUUGAGAUGGCCUCGCGUCCGAUUAGCUAGUUGGUGAGGUAACGGCCCACCAAGGCGACGAUCGGUAGCCGGACUGAGAGGUUGAACGGCCACAUUGGGACUGAGACACGGCCCAGACUCCUACGGGAGGCAGCAGUGGGGAAUAUUGCACAAUGGGGGAAACCCUGAUGCAGCGACGCCGCGUGGAGGAAGAAGGUCUUCGGAUUGUAAACUCCUGUUGUUGAGGAAGAUAAUGACGGUACUCAACAAGGAAGUGACGGCUAACUACGUGCCAGCAGCCGCGGUAAAACGUAGGUCACAAGCGUUGUCCGGAAUUACUGGGUGUAAAGGGAGCGCAGGCGGGAGAACAAGUUGGAAGUGAAAUCCAUGGGCUCAACCCAUGAACUGCUUUCAAAACUGUUUUUCUUGAGUAGUGCAGAGGUAGGCGGAAUUCCCGGUGUAGCGGUGGAAUGCGUAGAUAUCGGGAGGAACACCAGUGGCGAAGGCGGCCUACUGGGCACCAACUGACGCUGAGGCUCGAAAGUGUGGGUAGCAAACAGGAUUAGAUACCCUGGUAGUCCACACCGUAAACGAUGAUUACUAGGUGUUGGAGGAUUGACCCCUUCAGUGCCGCAGUUAACACAAUAAGUAAUCCACCUGGGGAGUACGACCGCAAGGUUGAAACUCAAAGGAAUUGACGGGGGCCCGCACAA